AUAAAAGACAACCAUGUCCUGUACGGAAAGUGAUGCUUCACAAAAAUAAUAGAUCUUGAAGCGUUUCUUGAAGAAUCUAGAUAUCAAACUGAUACUUAAUUUUAAGCCCUAAACCUUCCAAAACAUAACAAAAAUAUGCUUUCAGCUAAUGCAUCGGAAUGGUGAUGUCUGAAAUCCAGGUUGAGAGGUUCUUCCACGCAAGAUGCUGUUGGAGGGAUCGGGAGCUGAUAGUUACUGAGAGCGAUCCAAUGACAUCACAUAUCUGUCUUACAAAGGAAUACAUCAACAAUAGCCUGAAGCUUUCAUCAGAAUUUCUCCUACAUUUCUGCAGUGACCUCCUCCCAGGACUCCACUGUGCACAACUGUCAUACAGCUCAACACUGUUGUCCCUGGAUUACCUCGCUGCUUUGAUCUGUCACUGAAGAGAUUACGUGACUGUGUAAUGUUAUUGCCAUAGUGAAUACUGUCUGAUAUCAAGGGAAUGAAAAUCAAGAGUUGUGAAACUUAAAUGUUGUGCCACUCAUGGUAUUCAUCAAGAAGCACUGUUACUAGAGAAACAUGAAGAUGAGUUCUGAAAAUUUCAUUGUGAAAUGAAAGUAAUUCUGUCUUAAACUAGAAAUGAUUUUGUCUUAUGUGUAUGUGUGUAUAUACAUAUGCAAUGUACAUAUAUAUUGUGUAGAAAGCCAGGAAUUUUAAUAUUGCUUUUACAGUAUUCUGAUUGUUCUCCAAAACAUGUUCAUGCUGUCACACUUCCCGAGUUAAGUGAUAGUCUAAUUAGUGGAUGUCACUGUGCCACUUAUGUCAAUUGACGUUCAUUAGCUGACGGAAGGCGGGAGAGACACAGAAGGCUUUCAGCUCACAGGGUGGGGGAAUCAGCCAGCUUUGUCCAUCUUUUAUACAGACACACUAGGAUAAAAGGGAGUGAAGAAGAGGAAUUAGCUGUGGCACUUAUUUUCAAAUACCUUGACUGAAGUGUUCAUACUAACUAUGGGUAGAACAUCAAAGCCCAAGAGGACUUGCUUUCCUCCCUCAUGUUGAAGGAUAGAAAAGAAAGAAGCUUACAAAUUGUCUUGUGAAAGGAAAGACAGGGAGAGACCGCAAGUUCAGAGCACCCCUGGAAUCCGUAAAGGGAAAAUCUCUUCAUUUUCAUUCAAUGUUUCAACUUACAGUACUCUAAUAUAUGCAGUAUUUGGGAAGGGAUAUACCUACCUGUUUCAGUAAACAAACCUUAGUCUCACUUCUCAUCUUGUGUGAUUCAGUACAUAAAGUAAAUCAACUUGCAUGGUCUUGCAUUGCUAUUAGCCACUCACUUAGAAGGAAAAGAAUGGGGAAAAAUAUGCCUGCCAACUUCAGUCUUUGAAGUUUGUAUUUUUUCUGAUGUUUCUGCAGACAGUUCACUGCAUUGUUACCCAGAGUCCGUGUGAUUACAAAGAUAAGUAGGGCUCCAUUCUCUUCCUGAGUUAAUGAUUAGAUGUUAAUUUUAUAUUUAAGAGGAAAUUAUUAAUUUCUGAUGUUAACAGAUCUUAACCCUGAAUUUGACUAUGCAUACAGUAAAAUUUUCUUUCACUGUGUUUGAUCCGUUCACAUUAGUGCCUUAAAACAAUCAAUAUCACACUGUGUUUAGAAUUAUCUUUUAAGGGACACAAAGUAUUCAGGUGGAAAAAAAAUCUCAAGAGACCAGCAUGAAACUAAUAAGGUUUGCUAAUAGCUUUUACUUUCCUAAUUUAAAGGGAAGCCAAAGUGUAGGCUCUGAAUACCCAGACCCUUAAUUGGAUAUUGAUCUAAAUAAAUAUUCCUUUUCU
rnacentral:lncRNA from 7 species